CAGGAAAGCCGGGUGAUCGCCUGGCACAUAACUUUUAUUUGUUAAGAUGAUUCAAAUCAGUGAAGACUCUUAACGGUUGUCAUCCUGAGCGCUUAAAAAGUAUAAACAAGGAUUAAAUAUUUAACGCGAAGGAUCUCAAUGCUUGAAUCAGAUACAAGUAUAAACUGAUAAAGAAAUAAAAAUUAUGUGCUGGGAGGAAAGUCCGGACACCAACAAGUACCGUGCUCCCCGAUUCGGCUUAGCCGGCGAAGGGGAGGCUUCCCGUCAGGAAUGGCGGGAUGAUAGACAGUGCAACAGAAAACAGACCGCUUCAGCGCGGAGCGCUGAGAAAUUUCAAGUCACAAAUUCCAAUGACCAAAUUUUAUGUAAUAAUUAAACAUUGGGAUUUGAUAUUUGGUGCUUGGAGUUUUCAACGCUCCGCGUUGGAGUAAGGGUGAAAAGGUGAGGUAAGAGCUCACCGCCCCAAGGGUGACUGCGGGGGCACGGCAAACCUCGCGGGGUGCAAGUUCAUGCAGAUGGUAUACGCCGCUUGUCGUGACGCCAUCGGGUGGAAUGCGCCAGAUAAAUGAUCGCCCUCGACAGAAUCCGGCUUACAGGCUUUCCUGUUUG
rnacentral:RNase_P_RNA from 1 species